rnacentral:rRNA from 1 species
GUGGGGGAUAUUGCACAAUGGAGGAAACUCUGAUGCAGCGACGCCGCGUGAGUGAAGAAGUAUUUCGGUAUGUAAAGCUCUAUCAGCAGGGAAGAUAAUGACAGUACCUGACUAAGAAGCCCCGGCUAACUACGUGCCAGCAGCCGCGGUAAUACGUAGGGGGCAAGCGUUAUCCGGAUUUACUGGGUGUAAAGGGAGCGUAGACGGAAUGGCAAGUCUGAAGUGAAAUCCUGCGGCUUAACUGCAGAAUUGCUUUGGAAACUGUCAAUCUGGAGUGUUGGAGAGGUAAGCGGAAUUCCUGGUGUAGCGGUGAAAUGCGUAGAUAUCAGGAAGAACACCGGAGGCGAAGGCGGCUUACUGGACAAUAACUGACGUUGAGGCUCGAAAGCGUGGGAAGCAAACAGGAUUAGAUACCCCUGUAGUCC